rnacentral:tRNA from 1 species
GCUCUCUUGGCGGAAUUGGUAUACGCGCAGCGUUGAGGUCGCUGUGGCCGAAAGGCCUUGUGGGUUCGAGUCCCACAGAGAGUACCA